UGGGGAAUAUUGCACAAUGGGCGCAAGCCUGAUGCAGCCAUGCCGCGUGUGUGAAGAAGGCCUUCGGGUUGUAAAGCACUUUCAGCGAGGAGGAAGGGUAGUGUGUUAAUAGCACAUUGCAUUGACGUUACUCGCAGAAGAAGCACCGGCUAACUCCGUGCCAGCAGCCGCGGUAAUACGGAGGGUGCAAGCGUUAAUCGGAAUUACUGGGCGUAAAGCGCACGCAGGCGGUUUGUUAAGUCAGAUGUGAAAUCCCGCGCUUAACGUGGGAACUGCAUUUGAAACUGGCAAGCUAGAGUCUUGUAGAGGGGGUAGAAUUCCGAGGUGUAGCGGUGAAAUGCGUAGAGAUCUGGAGGAAUACCGGUGGCGAAGGCGGCCCCCUGGGACAAAGACUGACGG
rnacentral:rRNA from 1 species